CCUACGGGGUGCUGCAGUGGGGAAUAUCGGACAAUGGGCGAAAGCCUGAUCCAGCCAUGCCGCGUGUGUGAAGAAGGCCUUCGGGUUGUAAAGCACUUUCAGUGGGGAAGAAAGCCUUGGGGCUAAUACCCUCGAGGAAGGACAUCACCCACAGAAGAAGCACCGGCUAACUCCGUGCCAGCAGCCGCGGUAAUACGGAGGGUGCGAGCGUUAAUCGGAAUUACUGGGCGUAAAGCGCGCGUAGGCGGUCUGAUAAGCCGGUUGUGAAAGCCCCGGGCUCAACCUGGGAACGGCAUCCGGAACUGUCAGGCUAGAGUGCAGGAGAGGAAGGUAGAAUUCCCGGUGUAGCGGUGAAAUGCGUAGAGAUCGGGAGGAAUACCAGUGGCGAAGGCGGCCUUCUGGACUGACACUGACGCUGAGGUGCGAAAGCGUGGGUAGCAAACAGGAUUAGAUACCCGAGUAGUC
rnacentral:rRNA from 1 species